GGCAAGAUGGCCGAGCGGUCUAAGGCGCUAGGGUCAGGUUAUCUGAUCAAACAUAUCUGCUUGAAGCAAAUAUUCCUAGUCACGCAAGUGGCGUGGGUUCGAAUCCCACUCUUGUCA
rnacentral:tRNA from 1 species